AAACCAGCACCUCAAGUGGUCAGGAUGAUUAUUGGGCCUAAAGCAUCCGUAGCCUGCUCUGUAAGUUUUCGGUUAAAUCUGUACGCUCAACGUACAGGCUGUCGGGAAUACUGCAGAGCUAGGGAGUGCGAGAGGUAGACGGUACUCGGGAGGAAGUGGUAAAAUGCUUUGAGCUCUCGAUGACCACCUGUGGCGAAGGCGGUCUACCAGAACACGUCCGACGGUGAGGGAUGAAAGCUGGGGGAGCAAACCGAAUUAGAAACCCCAGUAGUCC
rnacentral:rRNA from 1 species